UACGUAGGGUGCGAGCGUUGUCCGGAAUUAUUGGGCGUAAAGAGCUCGUAGGCGGUUCGUCACGUCGGCUGUGAAAUCCCGAGGCUCAACCUCGGGUCUGCAGUCGAUACGGGCGGACUGGAGUACUGCAGGGGAGACUGGAAUUCCUGGUGUAGCGGUGAAAUGCGCAGAUAUCAGGAGGAACACCGGUGGCGAAGGCAGCUCGCUGGGACGUAACUGACGCUGAGACGCGAAAGCGUGGGGAGCAAACAGG
rnacentral:rRNA from 1 species